UCGCACCUACCGAUUGAAUGGUCCGGUGAAGCCUCGGGAUUGUCACUGGUGCCUCGGUGCCAGCGGCGAGAACUUGUCUAAACCUUAUCAUUUAGAGGAAGGUG
rnacentral:rRNA from 1 species